rnacentral:rRNA from 1 species
UACGUAGGGUGCGAGCGUUGUCCGGAUUUAUUGGGCGUAAAGAGUUCGUAGGCGGUUUGUCGCGUCCGUUGUGAAAGCUUGGGGCUCAACCCCAAGUCUGCAGUGGAUACUGGCAGACUAGAGUCAGGUAGGGGAGAGCGGAAUUCCUGGUGUAGCGGUGAAAUGCGCAGAUAUCAGGAGGAACACCGGUGGCGAAGGCGGUUCUCUGGGCCGGUACUGACGCUGAGGAACGAAAGCGUGGGGAGCGAACAGG